CAACACUCCCUCGGACGCAGCA
rnacentral:miRNA from 1 species